rnacentral:tRNA from 1 species
CAGCAAGCUGUGCUGCGUAGUAGAUCAUUGAACGACCACCUUCAGCGAUUGCUUUUUGAGUUAACAACAUGCGG